GCCGAGGUGGCCCAGCGGUACGGCGCCAGACUUGAGAUCUGGUUCCCUUGUGGAUCGGGAGUUCGAAUCUCUCCCUCGGCGCCA
rnacentral:tRNA from 1 species